GAAAGGGCAUUUUUAGCACCUGCAGCCAUCAAGUUACCAACAGCCAUUAAGUUACCUGCAGCCUUUAAGUUAUCAGUAACCAACAGUCAGAGCUGAAAGACCCUGCAUCAGCUCCAUUGAGGGGAAAGAGACUGCAAAUUCAGAAACCCUUUUAACCUGAAGACUACAAACUGUAAAGCAUUGUAAAAUACCAUGGUGCUUUCGGAUGUUUCUCAACCCACUCCCUGGCAGACCAUGAUCAAGGUUGAAGCAAUACUCCUGUGCAGAAGUCUUCAUACAGAUGAUUGAUGGGCUGCACCCUGGAGAUUCCUUUAUAAUCCCAAAGCCAUGAAUGCAAUUUUUGAAACCCGUCUUGAAAAAUCUACAGUAAACAAUUUGGAGCUGAGACAUAGCAGGUGAGAAGCAUAUUGCUCCUCUGUUCUAAACUGUUUUCCAAGUUGGUUUUCCUUUAGUAAAAGCAGGUACUGAGCUUUGUUAAAUGAUUCAAUUUUAUGUGCAGGUAGGCCCUAAUAUUCAACCUUCUGCAUUUUGGUAACUUAACUGCUGCUUGUUACUAGUUACCUUAUUUAAAUCUGUUUCCUGUAAAUAGCCACUAUUGUCAUCACUUCUGGAUAUAUUACAUUGCUUAUUAUUUUAUACUGGGAAUAGUUUUCAAAACAACUACCCAAGAAUUGGGUACAAAAUGGACUGAUUUGAAGCAAAUCAAUGAUUUCAUUGAUUUAAAUCACCAGAAAAAGUAAGCAUUAAUUUGCCGGUUUCAAUCAGUCUUGUGUAAUGCAUUUCUUUCCUGAGCACUCAUGCAUAUUUACU
ensembl:lncRNA